rnacentral:misc_RNA from 1 species
GAUGAAGAACGUAGCGAAAUGCGAUAAGUAGUGUGAAUUGCAGGUGUAUACGUGAAUCAUCGAAUCUUUGAACGCAAAUUGCACUUUCUGGUAUUCCAGGAAGUAUGCCUGUUUGAGGGUCGCCUAAAUAAACUUCGAUUAUAUUGCUUUUUUUGUAAAUAUAUGUCGGAUUUGGGCUUUUCUUUAUUUUUUUUUAAAUAAAGUGGCUUAAAAUUUUUUUUUUUGGUAUCAUCGAAAAGCGUAUUUUACGAUCAAUGUCGAUCAAAAGAAACGUUGUCGAAUGCCAUCCUUUAUUAAUGUAAUACGUUUGACUUGUGUUAUCAUCUAGUUCAUUCGUAUACGAUUCUUGAUUUUUUGACCUCAAAUCAGGUAAGAGUACCCGCUGAACUUAAGCAUAUCAAUAAGCGGAGGA